AAAACUGAAUGGCUAGUGUUGGCACAGUAAUACUUUGUUAUAUUCAUUUUGAUUGGUAUAGGGUUUAGUUGACACGAGUAUAUUUGUUAUGGUUGCAAAACCAAUAAUGAGAAGACAUGGGGAUAAUGCAGAAGAAUUAUAGUGCUUUGAAGUGAAAACUAUUCUUUCCAACUUGAUAUGGACAAUGAGAAAUUGAUGAUCUAAAAUCUUUCAUGGAUGAUAAAUGGAUAAGAAAUGCUUUUUUCUAUGUCAUAAUAAUGUU
rnacentral:misc_RNA from 1 species